GCUUACGGCCACACCACCCUGAGAACGCCCGAUCUCGUCCGAUCGCGGAAGCUAAGCCGGGUCGGGCCUGGUUAGUACUUGGGUGGGAGACGGCCUGGGAAUACCAGGUGCUGUAAGCU
ensembl:rRNA 5S_rRNA 5S ribosomal RNA